UACGAAGGGGGCUAGCGUUACUCGGAAUUACUGGGCGUAAAGGGUGCGUAGGUGGUUUGUUAAGUCUGCUGUGAAAUCCCCGGGCUCAACCUGGGAAUGGCAGUGGAUACUGGCAAGCUAGAGUGCGGUAGAGGGUAGUGGAAUUCCCGGUGUAGCAGUGAAAUGCGUAGAGAUCGGGAGGAACACCAGUGGCGAAGGCGGCUACCUGGACCAGCACUGACACUGAAGCACGAAAGCGUGGGGAGCAAACAGG
rnacentral:rRNA from 1 species